GACGAACCGUGCGAACGUUAUUCGGAAUCACUGGGCUUAAAGCGCGUGUAGGCGGGCCGGCACGUCGGUCGCUGAAAUCCCCCGGCUCAACCGGGGAAGGGGCGCCGAUACGACCGGCCUGGAGGGACGUAGGGGGGGCUGGAACUUCCGGUGGAGCGGUGAAAUGCGUUGAGAUCGGAAGGAACGCCCGUGGCGAAAGCGAGCCCCUGGACGUCUACUGACGCUGAGACGCGAAAGCCAGGGGAGCGAACGGG
rnacentral:rRNA from 1 species